CCUACGGGAUGCACCAGUGGGGAAUAUUGCACAAUGGGCGCAAGCCUGAUGCAGCCAUGCCGCGUGUAUGAAGAAGGCCUUCGGGUUGUAAAGUACUUUCAGCGGGGAGGAAGGUGUUGAGGUUAAUAACCUCAGCAAUUGACGUUACCCGCAGAAGAAGCACCGGCUAACUCCGUGCCAGCAGCCGCGGUAAUACGGAGGGUGCAAGCGUUAAUCGGAAUUACUGGGCGUAAAGCGCACGCAGGCGGUUGAUUAAGUUAGAUGUGAAAUCCCCGGGCUUAACCUGGGAAUGGCAUCUAAGACUGGUCAGCUAGAGUCUUGUAGAGGGGGGUAGAAUUCCAUGUGUAGCGGUGAAAUGCGUAGAGAUGUGGAGGAAUACCGGUGGCGAAGGCGGCCCCCUGGACAAAGACUGACGCUCAGGUGCGAAAGCGUGGGGAGCAAACAGGAUUAGAUACCCGUGUAGUC
rnacentral:rRNA from 1 species